rnacentral:lncRNA from 1 species
CUGCCUGGCCCAGUAGCUUUUUGGAUACUGGGGAUUGAACCCAGAGAUGCUUGAGCAUGAAACUAAAUCCCUAGGUCUUUUUAAAUCUCUUUUAAAAUUUUAAGACAAGGUCUAAGUUGCUUAGGGCCUCAUUAAAUUGCUGAGACUGGUCUCUAACUUGUGAUCCUUCUGCCUCAGCCUCCCAAGUCACUGGGAUAACAGGUGUGCACCACCAGUCCCAGCCUCCCAGUAGCAUUUUUUUGCUGUCUGGCAUGCUGCAUAUCUUGCCUAUCUCUUUCUCCUAGAUUGCAGAUUCUAUAGAGAUGGAGGCUUUGAAAUGAGUCUCAGUUUUAGCCAGGGGUGGUUGCCCAUGCCUGUUAUCCUAGUGGUUCAGGAGGCUGAGGCAGGAGAAUUGGGAGUUCAAAGCCAGCCUCAGCAAAAAUGAGGUGCUAAGCAAAUCAGUGGGACCCUGUCUCUAAAUAAAAUAUAAAAUAGGGCUGGGAUGUGGCUCAGUGGUCAAGUGCCCCUGAGUUCAAUCCCCAGUAUCCCAUCCCCUCCAAAAAACAGUCUCUGCCCUAGAGCAGGACUUCCCACAAAGAGGCACUCACUUCUGUUGAAGGAAUUCGCUCAUCACUUGCCCUGCCUGGGCCUUACAGGGAAAUAGGACCCAGUGAACGUCUCCCUGUCUUGAGAGUGAGUCUAUAGUAAGAGAUGAGGGAAGGCUAGACUAUGGGGCUUAGGUGUCCCUUAGCUUUGUGCACCUGCAGAGCAGCACAGAGCAGAGAAGGCUUACCCCAGGGAGGCUGCAGCCUUGUCCACAGGGCUCAUUCAUUUGUGAAGUGUCUGUGAAGGUCUCUGAUGCACCAGCCUGGGCCAAGACCCUGGGAGAGGCUAGGAUGCACAGAGCAAGACCGGGGCCAGCAGUUAAGAGACUUGGGCCAUCAGCACAUCUGUCCUAGGUUGGAUGCCCCUCAGUUCUCCCAACUAUAAGUGACAGGCAAUCCCACCUGCCCUAUAUGACUCAUGAAUAAGACUGAAUAUCAAAUGAGAUAACCCCACCAUGCACGAGACAAGAAUUAACACAUAAGGCAAGGUCUCAGUCCUUCAAGAGCUUAGAGUGUGCUCUUUGUAGCUUAUCUGUCUCCCAAAGAUCCCCCCAAGGUCCUCCAAUCUCCUAUUUCAGUCUGGGUCUUGGUGGGACCCCUUGGGACUGGAAAACUCCCCAGCCUUCACUUGAGCUGUCUUCCUCCCUGACCCCACACAGCCAAAAGAAGGCUCCCCCUGGUGGCACUUCCAGAAAUAACAGGUCUCAGCGAGUUCUGGGCAAGAAAAGCCCUGGUCCUUGACCACAGAAAGGGAGAAGGAAGAGGCCCGAAGAGGGAGUUGCGGAACCUUGGGAAAGAAGCAGGGCAAAUCUGAGAAAGAAGUCAGUCCUCAAACAGAAUGUCAGACUGGAGGGACCUGGGGCCUCCUACGUUACCCUGUUUUAUAGAUGAGGAAACAGAGUUCAGGGAAAGGGAGGUAGAGCAGGAUCAGAACCACGUUGUCUACACACUCCUCCGCUGGAGCUCGCUCUGUGGCACCAGGUGUCACAUGUAUUGACAUAAGUCAAGGAAUGAAUAAUGUCGAUCCCAGUAUUCCCUGAGGGCCUCUGAACGCACAGCCUUCUCUCCCAGGGCAGAUUCCCAAAUGUCAGAGUCUCUGCAUCCGGGGUGACCAGUAUAACUUUGGAUCUAAUCUGUGUCAGAGUCAGAGAUCAGAGAUAGACAAUUCACCUGGGCUUUCUGUUCUUACUAGGUAUGGAUAUAGGGGAGAAGAUGGGACUCAAAUAAAUCCUGCUGAGAUCCAAAAUGACCCGCUCAACUGGAGGGGUGUGUGGGAGGGACUAUUAUAGUUGCAAGUAGGGACUACUUAAAAAAAAAACAAACAAACAAACUUCAUUUUCUAAUUUAGGUCUUGCUGCUAUUAGCCCAUUUUAGAGAUGAAAACAAUGAAUCAUCAAAGUUCAAGUCACCAAGUGACUUGCCCAAGGUCAGGAAAAGCCUUCGGGAAAGACCAAUGACUGCCUUAUUUUUAUUGAGCUGAUUUUAGAAGGACUUUUCCCAACCGGAGGUGGCCUCCUACCAUGGGGGAGAUUUCUCUUGCCUUCUUUGGAUUCUGGUAGUCGGAGGAGCCCCUGGCUCCUGUUUAAGGUCAUGGGGAAGGUGAGGCCUGGGCGCAGAGAUUGCAGCAGCAGAAGAGGAGUGCAGUGCUGGGUGGCCAGAGGAAAGAGCUCCUCACUUUCUCAGUGGCUGGCUGAUGGAAAGCCUGGAUUCUGAUGACCCUAUGCAAGGGCCACCGUGAAAAUAUACCCAUGCUGUCUAGGAAGAAGAUCCUGCUCUCCAGUUUCCUUGAUGCAUGAGCAGGUGCUCAGUAGAUGGAGGAAAUCCUGGCUGGGACUGGAGGACACCAGGAUCUGGAUUCCAGUGCUGACCUUUAGACACCAAGACUGCACCAUAUAGAGCAGAGGGUGGCAACGCAGGCUCCGGAGUCAGAUUCCUGGGUUCAUGUGCCAGGUGACAAUUUCAUAGAUUUGUGGCCUCGACUUCACCUCUCUGAGCCACUGUUUUCUUAUCAGUAAAAUGGGAAUAAUAGCACCUACUUAAAAUUGUUGGAAGCAUAACAUGAAUGAAUGACACUAGUAUUUAAAAAAAAAUGCCUGGUGCCUAGUAAGUGCUCAAUAAACA